UACGGAGGGUGCGAGCGUUGUCCGGAAUCACUGGGCGUAAAGGGCGCGUAGGUGGCGCGGGAAGUCAACGGUGAAAGUUCGGGGCUCAACCCUGAAUCGGCCGUCGAUACUCCCGGGCUCGAGCACUGUAGAGGCAGAUGGAAUUCCGGGUGUAGCGGUGGAAUGCGUAGAGAUCCGGAAGAACACCGGUGGCGAAGGCGGUCUGCUGGGCAGUAACUGACGCUGAGGAGCGAAAGCGUGGGUAGCGAACAGG
rnacentral:rRNA from 1 species